UACGGAGGGUGCGAGCGUUAUCCGGAUUCACUGGGUUUAAAGGGUGCGUAGGUGGGAAUGUAAGUCAGUGGUGAAAUCUCCGUGCUUAACACGGAAACUGCCAUUGAUACUAUGUUUUCUUGAAUUUUUCUGGAGGUUAGCGGAAUAUGUCAUGUAGCGGUGAAAUGCUUAGAUAUGACAUAGAACACCGAUUGCGAAGGCAGCUAACUACAGGGAUAUUGACACUGAGGCACGAAAGCGUGGGGAUCAAACAGG
rnacentral:rRNA from 1 species